UGAUGAUGGCGAGGAUAACUAAUGAGUAAAGAUUUAAACAUGUCCCAUGCCUAGUACAAAUUUUCCCUUGAUUUAUGUUUGAAACUAAAAAUUUCACUUCUUAGUUA